rnacentral:rRNA from 1 species
AGAGAUGUGUGAUGAUGCAUAUCAAUAAGCGGAGGAAAAGAAACUAACAAGGGAUUCCCUUAGUAACGGCGAGUGAAGCGGGAAGAGCUCAAAUUUGAAAUCUUCAAGGUUCUACCUUGACGAAUUGUAGUUUAUAGAAGUGUUUUCUGUUAGUAGAGUGGCAAAAGUUCUUUGGAAUAGGACAUCAUAGAGGGUGAGAAUCCCGUAUUUGGUCAUUCCUUCCUAGCGUUGUGAUACACUUUCAACGAGUCGGAUUGUUUGGGAAUGCAGUCCAAAAUGGGUGGUAAAUUUCAUCUAAAGCUAAAUAUUGGCGAGAGACCGAUAGCGAACAAGUACCGUGAGGGAAAGAUGAAAAGAACUUUGAAAAGAGAGUUAAACAGUACGUGAAAUUGUCAAAAGGGAAGCGUUUGACACCAGUGUUGUUUUUCCGAAAAUCAAUUACGAAUGUUUUAGUUUUUGAGAAGUUAUGACUUCAUCGGCUUGCUUCUCUCUUUAUGAAACUUUCUUAAUGCACUUUUCGGUUAACAAGUCAACAUCAAUUUCUUUUGUUGUAAAAGGGUACGAGGAAGGUGGCUUUCUUUUCGGAGAAAGUGUUUAUAGCCUUGUACCUCUGCAAUCGGAGAGAUUGAGGUCUGCAGCGUAGAUCCUUCGGGGUUAGAUACAUUUGUGCUAAGUUAUAGCUUUUCAUAGACAACUUGUUGACUAUGUUAAGUCUUGUAGCUUACUCGCUUAUGCUAUUUUACCUACGCUUAGGAUGUUGAGUCGUAGAGCACGCAG